rnacentral:rRNA from 1 species
UACGUAGGGUGCGAGCGUUGUCCGGAAUUAUUGGGCGUAAAGAGCUCGUAGGCGGUGUGUCACGUCGGCCGUGAAAACCUGCAGCUUAACUGUGGGCGUGCGGUCGAUACGGGCAUCACUGGAGUUCGGAAGGGGAGACUGGAAUUCCUGGUGUAGCGGUGAAAUGCGCAGAUAUCAGGAGGAACACCGGGGGCGAAGGCGGGUCUCUGGGCCGAUACUGACGCUGAGGAGCGAAAGCGUGGGUAGCAAACAGG